ACGUCUUAAGAGAAGCAGCCACAGUCACACUGAGUAAGCCUGUGGAAGCUGUGCAGAGCGAGUAGUAUUCUGCAAUACAGCUAUCCACAACAGCUUCAUUCAUUCUCAAACUCAACUUUUUGGGUUGUUUCCAUUUUUUCAAAUGAAGAUGCCACAGGAAUCCAUAUACAAGGUCUCUCACUGGGACCUGGGACUCUCCAUCUGACUAGACUGCCUGCCAGCUUGGGGGAUCUUCUUGGCUCCGUGUCCAUGAGGUUUGGCAGAUGCCCCCGAGCGAAAUGGCUGAAUCCUAUAGUUGAUGGAUGCCCAACUGGAUCCAUCACAUUUUCCCAAAGCAGUUUGCCAUUUUACACUUUUGCCAGGAGUAUAUUAAAGAUGUAAUUCCUCCAAA